AAAACAAAAAUGUGUCCAUAGUACACGGAUGCCCCACUCGCACUAUCAUUUUCUGUGUGCAGUGGACCGUGAAAUUGGGGUCAAAUCUUUAAUUUGGAAUUAUAGUUAGAAAGAUCAUAUCAUAGGGAACAUGUGUACUAAGUUUCAAGUUGAUGUAACUUUAACUUCAUCAAAAACUACCUUGACCAAAAACUUUAACCUGAACUUCGCACUAUCAUUUUCUAUGUUCAGUGGACCAUGAAAUUGGGGUCAAAACUAUAUUUUGGCAUUAAAAUUAGAAAGAUCAUAUCAUGGGAAACAUGUGUACUAAGUUUCAAGUUGAUUGGACUUCAACUUCUUCAAAAACUACCUUGACCAAAAACUUUAAC
rnacentral:lncRNA from 1 species